GUCUUGAACAGCGUGCUUCCAUGAGUUUGUUUUUAGCUGAAGGAGAAGAAAAUAUAGAGGAAGAAAUACAGAAAGAAAUAGGGAAAUCAAAGGUGUUCUGGUUCAUUGAAGAAUAAAAUGUCAGAGGAGUUGUUUUGCUGUCAGCCUGCUUCUGAGAAUGAAGGCAUGGAGACUGGAAAGAUGUCGAGGUGAAUAGAGGGAAAGAUAAAGUUUGCAUUGAAAGGGUGGGAAAUAGUGGGAGAUUUAAUAUUUGGAAAUUUGGGUUUUAUGCCUUUUAGUAGCAACCUAAUAAAAUACAAAUCCUUUUCAGAUAUAACAGGAAGCUCUUUUCAGCUAAUAUUUUAUCAGGGAAUUCAGUUAGCAACUGAGAACAAGGCCCAUUAGGAGUGGCAGGGAUGAGGAUAACUUACUGCCUGGAGCAGCAGGUGGCAGGGAGUGGGGAAGGAAAGGAAAUGAGAGAGGAAACUGGUGCCUCAAAGGAUAAAAUUCACCUCUUUAAAAAACCUUUCAACUGUGGUCACUGUGUUGUAUUUAGGAAUCCAGAGUAUGAUUUACUUGAAAUGUGCGAUGAGAGUGAUGUUAAGGGUCCUCAACAUAUACAGAAGUGUGCACGUGCACACACACACACAUACACCAUAAACAUACAUACACAUAGAUAGAAAUGGUAUUUAAAUGUGGAGAUAGGUGAAUUAAUUCAUUUGAUUGUGGUACCAUUACACAACACAUAUGUAUUAACAAGUCAUCAUAUCGUAGAUAGUUUAUAUCGUUUAUAUCGUUUAGAUAUAAACAAUAUUUGUCAAUUAUACCUUCAUAAAGUUGUGGAAAAAAAUAAAACUUUAGAAAAUUAAAAACAAAAGAAGAGCCCAGCUUUUUCAGAUAAAACCUUGACUUCCAUAACCAGUGGUCAGGAAUCUGUACUCUAGUGUGCUGAUCCUUGUCAGCAACUCUGAAGCAUGAUUAGCCCAUUAAACCUCAUUGGAGAAUAGGAAAUCAAUUCAGAAUUUUGAGGCUGAAUUUUAAUAUGUCCAAUUUGUCUUAACUGUGAUUCUUACUGAUACUGGACCUUUUGGAGGGUUAUAAUGUGAUUGGGAAAGCCAUAGUGUGAGUAUUUUAAAGUUCAUAUGUAGCUUGCAUCAUUAGACAACUAUGAGAAAACAGAAUUUAAGAGACUCUAAAUAAAAUAAAACAUAAAAUAUAGCACUAUAUUUUAUUGUGAAUCCCCAGGAUUUCAUGAAAUAGGAUAAGAACUUCAUUAACUGAACAUGAGAUUUUAUACAGUAUCAAGGGGAAGAAACAAGUUAGUACCUCGAGGGUAAGUGUGAUUAAUUUUUGAGAAUGUUGCACUUUUACCAGAAAGUGUGUUAGUAUUCUUGCUUUGUCAAUUGCGGUUUUUUUAAAUCGUUAUUUUGAAGUAGUGAGAACUGAUUAAGAUAAUGUAUCUUACAAGAUGAGUGGAGGAACAUUGGAUGGGGCAAAGGGGAUGAGGAGAGGGGGUAAGGGGGUAGGAAAUAUGGUGGAAUGAGACGGGUAUCAUUACCCUAGGUACAUGUAUGAUUGCACGAAUGGUGUGUCACUACUUCAUGUACAAUAAGAGAAACGAAAAAUUCUGCUCCAUUUGUGUACAAUGAAUUGGAGAGAUUUCUACUGUCAUGUAUAACUGAUUAGAACUAAUAAAAAAUAGAAAAAAGAGUCAUAGUAAAAAGCAUAUGUUAUUUCUUUUUCUUUUAUAUUUUUAUUUGUGCACUAUAAUUGUGCAUAAUGGUGGAAUUCAUUGCUACAUACUCAUACAUGUUCACCAUAUAACAAUAUAUUUUAAAAGUGUUUUUCGUUAUUUUGAAGUAAAAAAAAAUUAAAUGAUAAAAAAUCCUUUGGAAAGAUCAAAGAGUUGUGCAUAUAUAACACAUUAGUGGUAGUAGUGCCGUUUUUGUUUGUGAGACAUUUAAAUAUUUGUGUGCCAUGUCUAACACAUAUGUGCUAGAAGUCGUCAUUCUCAUACUUAGAUACAAACAGAAUCCAUAUUCCAUAUUUUAAAAAUCAAGUUUAUUUCAUUACAAAAGUAUUUCCUGCUUAUUAUAGAGAGUUUGCUACAUAAAAAUGGAGGAAAAAGUCAAGCGUCUAUCACUCAAAGCCAACACAUUUGAAUGUGUUUUUCUUUGAAGAUUUCUUGUGAAAAUGUGUAGUUUGUUUAUUUUGCAUAGUUGUGAUCAUACUUUAUGUAAUUUUGAAUUCUAAAUUUUUUUUUUGUUUAACACUGUACCAUAAGGAUAUUCUUCUGUUAUUUUAACCUCAAAGAAACAUUGUUUUUAGUGACUUUAAAUUAAACUCCAGUCUUUGGAUAUGUCAGAUUGCUUCUGAGUUCCUGAGAAAUGUAGAGGUCUGUGAUUUUUGCCAUUUGAAUUGUCUCUGGUCUCAACAGAGAGUUCCAGCAUGUCCUGAAAAAUCUCAAAAUCACAGAUGCUCAAGCCUCUUACAUAAAAAAAAUGUAUAAUAUUGCAUGUAAACUAUGAACAGCCUCCUGAAUAUGUUAAAUCAUCUCUGGAUUGCUUUUAAUACCUAAUAUAAUGUACAUGCUAUGUAAGUAAUUAUGACACUAUUUUGGUAAGGAAACAGUGGCAAAAAAACUGAAUAUAUUCAAUACAGAUAUAUAUAUAUAUUUUUUAAAUUGAUGGUUCAGUCCUCUGAUCCAGAACCCAUGGAUAUGGAGGGAUGAGUAUAUAACUUACUUCUGUGUUAGAGUAUUUUAAUCUAUCAUUAUGGUAUUGUAUACCUGACUUUACCAGCAUAUGGUUUAGAAUAAGUUGGGUUAUUAUACGAUGGGAAGAAAAAAUGAGGCUUAAUAAACACUUUUGUCCUUGUUAUAUUGCCAGUGUAGAAGAAUUUCUCUAAUGAAAUCAAAUUAUUUAGCUCAAGGGUCAAUGAAAUUUCUCUGUAAAGGGCCAGGUGGAGAACAUUUUAGGUUAAAUGGAUUCUGUCUUAACUGCUCACCUUCACUGUUGUAGUCUAAAAGCAGCCAUCAAUAGCAUGUGAAUUGAAUAGAUCUGGCUGCAUUCCAAUGAAAUUGUGCUUUUAGUGUUUAUUCUCAUAUAUUUAGCAUGUAUUCCAAAUAUUUAGUAUUUAUUCCAUAGAAUUUGGUAAAACUUUAGUUUGUGUAAUGUUAUCUAAGUUUCUGAGGCUGGCUUUGAAUCCGUGAUCCUCCUGCCUUGCUUUCCUGAGCCACUGGGAUUUCAUGCAUGCACUAUGCCCGGCUUGGGAUUCAAGAAUUUUAAAGGCUACCUUGGUGAUUUUAUUGUAUUGCCCCUGAGUUAGUCUGAAGUCGGUCAUCUGACUAGUGCUUGCAAAUGGGUUUGGAAGCAUUUCAAGAAAUUCUAUUUUUCCCAUUACUAAGAGUCAAUGACUUCAUAUUAUUAAUUCAAAAGAGUAGAAUAUGACGUUUAGGUUAUUAUAAUCAUGAUUACACAAGGUCAUAUUCAAGUAACUCUUCUAUGUAGAUCCAAUCAUAUCCAAAUGAUUUUGAGAGUAAUGCAUAACUUUGUACAUUCUUAAUAAAUUGCAUGGGAACUAUUUAGAGCCCCAAAGAAUCCAUGAUUUAGCUGCAGAUGUUUCUAUGAAAUAUAGCAUGUUGAGUAACUGAAGGUUUAGUUCACCUCAGGUAAUGUUUUGAGACCAGUGUGAAGAGCAAGGUUUACUGCUGAUUGUUUAAAAUUGAAUUCAGUUGUAAGACCUGGGUUUGUGCCUUUGAGGCCAGAAGUCUCAACUAUCAGUCCAUAAAAAAAACAAAACAACAACAACAAAAAACUAAUCUGUAUCCUCCAUUGGCUUUAAUAAAGUCACCAUAUUUGGGGCUAUGAAAUAUACCAAGCUGAAGAAAAUAUAAUAUCUGCCUUUGAAUAACUUGUAAUCUUACUUGAUGAAAAAAAUUUAACAUAAAACAUAAGAAAAAAAAUUCUGAAUGCCAACUGCUAUGUGAAUUCAGACCAGCAAAGCUGAUUUGUUCAUAAAGUUGAUCCGUCAACAAGUGGUAAUUAGAGAUGACACUGACAAAACAAUUCUUCUCUGAGGGAGACCUGCAGGCUACUGGUAUAAGAACAUUUGAAGUUCUUGUUGAAAAUGCCAGUUCUUGGAACACAUAAAGUACACCAUUUAAACAGAUUCUCUAUUUAUUCUACAUAUUUAGCUUGAGCACUGAACAUGCAGUAGUUGCAAAAUGAUCUAGACCUUGAAAGAUGGUUUGGAGCUAUUCAAUAAUAAUAAUGUUUACUGAAUGUACAAUUUUGUAAUGUUGUAUUUGUAUUGCCUCAUUGAAUCACCACAAAAUAACUAUGGUGAGUGCUUUGAUUAUUAUCCCCAUUUAACAUAUGAGGAAAACGAGGCACAACCAACUCCAACAGUUUUCCCAAGUUUAUACUACUAGGAAGUCACAGAGUCAAGAUCUGGGAAUAUACAGUACCAAUCCAGAUUCUGCCCUCUUAUUUAUUGUUCCCUAGGCAACAAGGAAGAAGAGCACAUCUCCCAAAGAUGUAGGAGUAUGCCAUAAAGCAUCCUAUGUUCCAUGAAUAUUUAAAAGAGUACAGAUUAGCAAGAGGCUGCUGCUGUCCUUUUUGGAGAGGUUAAAUGAACAAGAUUCUGUAGUCUAGGAAGAUGAGAACUGACAUGAUAUAUGGCAAGUCUCAAUAUAAUAACAAUAUAUUAUAAUUGAAGAUGUUGGCAAACUGAUAAAAUUUAAGGGUAGAAUAGGUAAAUUUAUCAUGGACAAAAUAAUUUUUUUCCAGGAGGUAGAAUAUAAAUAUUUUGGAGGAUGGAGAUAUUUAUACUUGUAUCAUUAAAAUAUGAUGGUAUGUAUGAUUUCAAAAUGUAUCAUUUAUUUAGAAUAUCUGGAAGUUAUUCAUGAGGAACAGUGAGGAGAUUGGUACAAGAAGACCUGAAGGACAGUACAGAAGAUGGCAAGAUUUUAGAGCUGCAGAAGAGGAGAUCAGACUGUGCCAGACUAGACCAGCACUUCACGUUCUGAGUGGAGGCAUGCAAUACUGGCCACAUUAGUAAUAUCUUCACAGACUAAGGCACCACAGGAGUGAGAAGAAGCCAACCAGCCUUGGCUACAUAGUGGCACAUUAAAAACUCCUUUAACUCACUAGCUUGCAGGACUGACUUUGCUCUUGAGUAUUAGAGUUGACCUUUCAGAUAUACCCUCUGAACAUUGAAAGAAAAGGAGUUAUAAAGUCCAUGUAAAACAUAAAGCAUAUUGAAACAGAAACCUGAUGGCUAAAGUGACAUAAUUUCUCUUAAAUCAGCACCGAGCUAUAUGGACUAUCUGUAGCUCUGCCGCAGUCUGGCUGGGCAAAAUCAUGAGCCACUGAAGCAGGAACAAACUUUAUUUUUAAACUGCAGGAAAACACUUCACACAGCUCCCGGGGAAUCCUCCCGAACACCACGAGGCUUGUCCAGGAACCCCCAGCCGGAAAUAUCUCUCCCGGAAAUCCCUCCUCCUGCACUUCCCCAACCAAUGGGAUCUCUCGGGGAAUCCCCGGAAAUCCCCACGAGAACUCCAAAAUAGUGCGAGAACUCAAAAGUUGCUGCAGAGGCGGAUAGUAAUGCCUCGCCUGUCAAUCAAUACUGUCGGCAAAAUGCCAGGGGCCAUACAGACUCGGCCGUGGCUCUCAGCAUAGCUCUAUAUGUUAACAAUAAAAUUAUUUGUUGAGAAUUCCUGAACACCACAGUAGAAAUGCGUAUGGAAAGACAAAGUAGCAUUGAGUCUUUUUGUAUGGAUUUGAAUCAAUUUAUGGAAUGGAAAGAAUGGUUUGCCUUGUGUGCUGACAUGAGAAUACAGGCAAGUGACCACCUACCGACCACAUUUCAAUCUAACUAUGGUGCUUUUUCCUCUUCUUUGUAUGAGUUGGGAGAACCUGGAUGAAUCCAGAUGUCUGAUUUUAUACUAUUGUUUGCUCUUAGCUGUCACUGCUAGAGUUUCAUGAACAUAUAUGUCAAAUCAUACUAGAGCAACAAUAUAAUAUGGUUUGUUCUGGCCAUAAUGUAUUUUACUAAUUUCAUAAAAUAAUAUAAAAAUCCUAUAGAAUCAUUAAGAUUCUGAACAAGUCACUUUUUUUGAUAUAAUAUGCUGUUGUUUAAAAAUUAAAUUUAAUGACUCAGAUCCUGUUCUCUAAUGUCUCAGAACAUAUCACUUGAGAUGAUCAAGAGUCUACUAUCACCAUAUUUUACUACCCAGUCACCUUAACACUUAUUUUACAAAACAAACUAUAAUACUGUAAUGUGAAGUUCUUUUUUAGAAAUUUUACUUUAAAUCAUAUUACAAAAAAUGCAUA
rnacentral:lncRNA from 1 species